GCCCUUUGGACAUGCUGAAGGAGAACUGGAUGGCUGGAGGGGCAUCUGGAUCCAGUAAAGGGUCUUCACCAACAACAAACGUCAUCUCCUACAUACUGCAAAUGAGAGACAAACUGGAAAAAUACAGAGAACAAGUUAAAGACCAUAUGCAGAAAGCACAACACAAGCAGAAGAUGUACCUGGGCGAACUGAUGUCAUAACACA